CUGGAUUAGACUAGCAAAGAACAUAAAUGCAAGCUUACACAGAUUUGGGAGAUGGUAGUAGUUGGGAGAGCCACUGUCACUGUUUUAUGAUAAUAACCGCUUGAUCCCUGUUUUCUGCUCGGCAGUAAGCUUGCUAGGGAACUUUAUGUGAAACUUAAUCCUCAAGUUCCCUUUUUUGUUAGGCUCCUUGGGAAUUGGCAUCCCUUCCCCUUUAACAACUUCUUCAUAGGUUGGACUAAUAAUAGAGUUAAUGGAGAUUGUCAAAUUCCGUCCAUCGAGGGUCAUUACCUGCGCUGUGUAACCAGUUAGAGCUUCUACAAGAGAUACCUUCUGGGUAAUUAUAAGAUCAUUCCCAUCCCUCUUGAAGACACUGUGAGGCUUCUCAUCAAUGAUGAAGACAAGGUCAGAAGGUAUAACACCUCGUUGCUCAUUUCCCUUCUCCGGAAAAGUUAUUUUUGUCCCUUUCUUCCAACCAGGCUUGAUCUCAAUUGUAAGAAUUUCUUCCCCAGUGGUUGGUCUCCCAGUAGGAUCAGUAACAUCCCUCGAAAUCUUCAUCUUCUUAGUAGUUCCCUUAUACAGAUCUUCCAAACUACACGGCAAUGUCCGUUCUAUGGCAGCCCCUUUACGGGGAAUAUUAGAGCUCUCUCCGGCUGCGCUCCUAAAUGAGGAGAAGAUAUCUUCCCCAAACAUACCUCUCGGAAAUCCUGACGUGCUGGCGCGUGAGACGCCACCCAUAUCACCCAUCCCUCCAAACGGACUCGAAAACCCAAAAAUCUCAGAGAAUAUAUCGUCCGCACUCCGAGGAUUGAACCUGAACGUCGUGGAGCCCCCUUCGGCUCCAAAACCCGCUGCACCCGGAGGAGGCGGCACCUGCCCCUUCAAACCCUCCUCUCCAUACUGAUCAUAAACAGCCCGCUUUUGCGGAUCGCUCAAGACAUCAUAGGCUUCGGAGAUUUGCUUGAACUUGGCCUCAGCUUCCUUCUUGUUCUUAGGGUUCUUAUCGGGAUGCCAUUUCAUAGCAAGUUUACGGUAAGCUUUCUUCAAAUCAUCGUCUUUUGCAUUCCGGUCUACCUGUAAAAUUUUAUAGUAGUCGACGCCCAUGGCUCUCUUCUUCUUCCUCUCCGUCCACCGUUGAAGUUGGGUCCGGCUGUGAGCUCACUGUUCCUUUAUAACUGGUUUGCUUUUACGCUUUUAGUGGGUUGGAUCCGUUCUCUUAAUGGGCUAAGAUGUUAGGGAUAAUUAUAAUAAUAAUUUU
rnacentral:misc_RNA from 1 species